CGCUCCUCCUGUUUUUCUGCUGGAGCUAUCUUGAGUGUUGAUGAUUGUGCUGCUAUGGAAUUGCUAAAGUUGCUGCUGCCAUGGAUUAGAAAGAAAGGGGAUUGUCGCGUUUAAAUUCUGUGGUUUCGACUAACGGAGGUUCAUUUUAAAUUUUUGACCAUGGAACAUCAAGAUUUAGUGGAUAAGAAUGAAGAGAGCAUUCAAUCGAUCGAAAAGGUUAGCAAUGCUGAAGAUCAGGAUAAGAUGAAUGAGGUUGAAAGUGUGAAAUCUGAGUUGGUUAAUGUUGAUGAGAGCAAGGAUUUGCAAUCUGAAACUUGUUGUCUUUGGGUUAUUUCUGCAGACUGCUCAUAUUUGAUAACAUAGAGAAUGGAAGCUUAAAGGAGCAUCUCAAUGGUAAUUUUUGAAAGAAAUUAGAAGGAUGAGGUUGCAGAUUGCUAAUGAAGUUGUAGCAGCACUGCAAAGUCAUGGAUAUCUUCAUAAAGGCUGCUGAAUAUAUGAAAAUUCCAGUUCGUAGGACUGAUGACGAACCUCUUCAAAAGCUCUUUAUGUUAUUGAGGAGUGAGUUGAACCUUGACCUCAAGAACAUUAAGGAGUGCUGAAAUGGUGACCAUAUGCUACCUUGAGGGCUCAAGAAUGUUUUGAUGCAUAGAGACACUAAUCUAUGUUAGAACUUUUAUGUUUUGGUUGAACUUUUAUGUUAGAACUUUUAUGUUUUGGUUGAACUAAUCAAUGUACUCACUAGCUAAUGUUAUUUUGUUUCAAGACAAUUUUAGCUAAAAAGAUCUUGUUUGACUUAUGUAUGUAUUUGCAUAUUAUAUACAUG